UAUAGCUGCCAAGAAAGGAAAUAUCGCCUCGCAGAAGAGACUAGCUGGAGAUGUGGGGCAGUUCUUUCUGCGUCUUUGUCCAGCGCCGGUGUGGCUGAAGGCUCUUGGAGAUAUUCCAUUUCCUGCUGAAAACUUUGAGUGAGGAUUAUCGCCUUUUCCUACGCUUUUCUCUUAGAAUCUCAAAGGCCUGCCUGCUGGUGUGGAAAAGGCUUCCAGAAUAGCUCUUGCUCACUUUGGGUGAGAUGCUUAUGGUCGGCUAGAGAAAAGUGUUGGAACCUGCCUUACUCAUCCUUGACUAUGUGGAUAUCCACUUUCCUCAAAAUCCAAGCCUAAGAGAGAAAGUGCCAGACUUGCUCUUCCUGCAGCCUCCAUGAGUCAGCCUCAUUGGGCCUACUUUCCUCUUUGGAGACAUUUUACUUCUGUAGGCGGACUUUCUCUACUCACAGGGCCAGACACUGACUCUUCUAGCAACAAACGACCAUGUGAGAUGUGCUUUUAUAAGACUUGCUUUCAGAAUGCUUAUCACAUCAAUAUUCCCUACUGCCAAUUUGGAAAAUAAUUAAAGAAACCACCUCCCAAAUAACAAAGAGGAGGGAACAGAAAACCACAAACACUUUCCUCAAUGAUACUAAGAGAUGCCCAGUACCUGAACCAACCAUCUUUGAGUUGCCAAAGAUGAGGAAGGCGAUGCUGGCACAGAGAAUUGUGACAAGAAGACAGCUAGUCCCAGAAAGGCUUGGAAUAACCACAGGAGAACUGAGCCAAAGUGGCUUCAGACUUCAGGACCCAGGCAAAGUAGAACUUGGAGUAAGAUCUGGACGGAACACAGAGGAUUAAGUGACUGAUGAUAUCCCCAUCACUUCCCCCACUGGGUUCCCAGCAUGCCUACAGUCUGCUCCCCAGAGAAGAGGUGUCCACCUCAGAGGGAACCAUCCCAGGAGAAAAGACUCAUUGAGAUAGGAGAUAAUUGUGUAUAUCAAUCUGCAAAUAUAGAGGAAAUCUCUCCAUUUGGAAAUACAUCACAUCACACAGAGAAGGCUUAUCACCUCCACCGCCAUUUGAUGCUACCGUCUGGAGGCCAAGGCUUUGCCGUCUUUAAGGGCAAAUAACCAAAGAUGCUGUUGAGAAAAGUUCCACUGGAUUCAUGCUUCACCUUAUAGAAUGCAAAAAAGGCUUGACUCUGAUUAUUGCAUAACUGAACAGGAUGGAAAGAGGGGAGCUCUUGUACGUAUUAGAAGCUUCAUUCGACGGCCAUAAUGGAGAUGCUGCUGGUGACAAUGCUUUCGACAUUCUUCCCCAUGAUACACUGAUGUAGCCAAACUUUAGAAAGUCUCCAACUCUCUGAUGAAUAAAGUCUUUAAACAAAUGAAAAAUAAGAAAGCAUCUGGAAAUGAUAUCAUCCCUGCCAAAUUUUCAUGCUGGAGGAAAAAUGACUCAUGUAAUCUCCCUGUAUUCUCUUCUUGAGAAACAAGAAUAAAAGAGAAAAUGACAUAUGACUCUAGGGAUAUGGGGAGCACGGGUUUUAUGUAAUGAUAUACAUCCAAUGGCAGGAUAGAUACCCAUUUCUGAACCACCUGCAGAGCAUAUGUUUUAGAAAAAGAGUUUUCAUAAACAAGUGUCCAUGGGAGAACUCUCAUUUCUAUUUUGGAAAGAGAAUAAUUUCAUUUCUUAAAGGUGGGUAUUUUGACAUGGAGAUUUCACUUCUCUCUGUUUCAUCUAGUCUCUAAAGUUUUUCUUAGAAAGUACUGUAUAAAUGUAUUUCACUCCACUUUUAGAUGUUCUAGUUGAGGAAAGAAGCUCA